CGAUUUGGGCCUCAUGAUUUAAGUGUGGGCCAGAGUUCCUCGUUUUGGGCCUAAGAUGAAGUCAAGAAUUAAUUAAGGAAGUUUCAGACGAAAAGCGAAUGAAAGAAAAGUCCCGAGCCCAAAACCCGAAAGAAAUUAGCUAGGAGAGUUUCGUAAUUCGUCGCAAGGGCAAAAUUGGUAUUUCACGCACACAACUAUAAAUAGAAAAAAAUUGGAAGCCCUAGUCCCAUUUCUCCCUUGCAGCCGCGUCCUUCUCCUUCCCUCUCCCCCGACCUCUCGCUCUCUCUCUCUCGUUCUCCCUCUGCCAUCACCGGAGACUCCAUCUCCGGCCACCAUCUCACCACAUCACUUCCACCAGUCGACGCAACACCUGAACCCGACCAAAACCCACCCGGAAUCACCGACAUGCAUCGCCGGUAGCCUCCACACGCGACCACCAAAAGCUGCGACACCACUGCCCUUUCUCCUUCGUCGAUUUCCGACCAUCACCAUGCCACACUGACACCACCGUCCGACUCAGUGGACAAGGAAGAGCGAAACCCGUGAGCAUCAUCACUCGUCGAUGUCGGGAAACCGCCGUACCAGCAUCGUCGGAGGCCUCGGCCCUGCAUGCCCUCGUUCUCUACUCUCCAGCUCGGAUCGAGCUAAACAACCUCCGUAGCUGGAAUCAAGGCUUCACGAUGCAUCAAAGCCAUAGACCCUCAGCCUCCGAUUUCGGCCAGAGCCCCCGCACGCGUCUCACGCGCCACCGCUGGCACGUGAGCCAACCUAGCGUCACCGUGAGCACCACCAGCUUAUUCUCUUCGUUCGGUAAGCUGGAUUCUAUCCCUUCUUCUUAGUGAGGCUUCUACUUUGAUCUAGAUUGAGAACCCUAACUCGAUUUCUUAAUUUGAAAUCUGUGAGGAUUUUGGAAUAUGUGUUCUGGAGGUUUUGGAGGAAGGGAGGUCUGCAAAAUUGUAAGCCUUCGGAGAAGAGAAGUGCUGGGUCAGUUCCAUUUGUAUUGAGGAAAGGUGCCCAAAGCAAUUGUUGGAGCUGGAUUGCAGCAAUUGGAUUUAGCCCUCAGUUUGGAGAAGAAGAAAUGGACCCGAGCGUGUGCAUUUGGAAGUGGACAAAGUGUUGAAAGUCGAGAACGAACCCGAAUGUGGGCAAGCACUCCAAUUCCAGUGUGCAGGUUUCGAGCAUGUGGUCGGGAAGCGUACAGGGGAGGCACAUGGCACGGCUUGGCGCAUUUCUCUUUAGUUUUAUCAAAAGAAGGUUUUGGUCCUUAAUCGGAUUUUGUAGUAGCUAGUUUAUUUACUUUUUAUUUAUUUCCUACUCGUUUACAAAAAAAUUCCGGGAGACCCGUAACCCUGGGGCGCGUCUCCCAUACUUGUAGUUACUUAGUGAUCCGUUUUAUUUUCCAAAUUGGGCUCCGAUUGCAAGCCCAAAACUCUUAGCCCAUUUCGAAUUCCGCUUUUGACAAUGUGUUGUUAGGUUGCUAGAAUGAUUUGUCCAAGAAAGUGUUUUGUAAACCAACAACCUAAACUCAAAAGGCCUUGCGGUUUCGGGUUGAUGAGCUAUCGAGAUGCCAUUCGUGACAUGUCGAUUCCUCAUUGGCUCGGAGUCGCGGCGCUGUGGGA